AGCCCGCACUACCUUUUUCCUCUUCCUCCUCCUCCGGGUGAGGGGAGCGAAGGUUGGGGGUCCCCGAGCCCAUGGACCAGGAGGAGGCGGAGGCCGCCGAGAGCCGGGGCCCCGCUAUGUGGCCCUGAGCCCCGUGUACUGGUUCUGCCUGUCUGGAGGGCCAUGGAGAAGAGGCUGGGAGUCAAGCCAAAUCCUGCUUCCUGGAUUUUAUCAGGAUAUUAUUGGCAGACAUCUGUGAAGUGGUUGAGAAGCCUGUACCUGUUUUAUACUUGCUUUUGCUUCAGCGUUCUGUGGUUGUCAACAGAUGCCAGUGAGAGCAGGUGCCAGCAGGGGAAGACACAAUUUGGAGUUGGCCUGAGAUCUGGGGGAGAAAAUCACCUCUGGCUUCUUGAAGGAACCCCCUCUCUCCAGUCAUGUUGGGCUGCCUGCUGCCAGGACUCUGCCUGCCAUGUCUUUUGGUGGCUAGAAGGGAUGUGCAUUCAGGCAGACUGCAGCAGGCCCCAGAGCUGCCGGGCUUUUAGGACACACUCCUCCAAUUCCAUGCUGGUGUUUUUAAAAAAAUUCCAAACUGCAGAUGAUUUGGGCUUUCUACCUGAAGAUGAUGUACCACAUCUUCUGGGGCUAGGUUGGAACUGGGCAUCUUGGAGGCAGAGCCCACCCAGAGCUGCACUCAGACCUGCUGUAUCCUCCAGUGACCAGCAGAGCUUAAUCAGGAAGCUUCAGAAGAGAGGUAGUCCCAGUGAAGUAGUUACACCUAUAGUGACACAGCAUUCUAAAGUGAAUGACUCCAACGAAUUAGGUGGUCUGACUACCAGUGGCUCUGCAGAGGUCCACAAGGCGAUUACAAUUUCCAGUCCCCUAACCACAGACCUGACUGCAGAGCUGUCUGGUGGGCCAAAGAAUGUAUCAGUGCAACCUGAAAUAUCAGAGGGUCUUGCUACUACGCCCAGCACUCAACAAGUAAAAAGUUCUGAGAAAACCCAGAUUGCUGUCCCCCAGCCAGUGGCUCCCUCCUACAGUUAUGCUACCCCUACCCCCCAGGCCUCUUUCCAGAGCACCUCAGCACCAUACCCAGUUAUAAAGGAACUGGUGGUAUCUGCUGGAGAGAGUGUCCAGAUAACCCUGCCUAAGAAUGAAGUUCAAUUAAAUGCAUAUGUUCUCCAAGAACCACCUAAAGGAGAAACCUACACCUACGACUGGCAGCUGAUUACUCAUCCUAGAGACUACAGUGGAGAAAUGGAAGGGAAACAUUCCCAGAUCCUCAAACUAUCGAAGCUCACUCCAGGCCUGUAUGAAUUCAAAGUGAUUGUAGAGGGUCAAAAUGCCCAUGGGGAAGGCUAUGUGAACGUGACAGUCAAGCCAGAGCCCCGUAAGAAUCGGCCCCCCAUUGCUAUCGUGUCACCUCAGUUCCAGGAGAUCUCUUUGCCAACCACUUCUACAGUCAUUGAUGGCAGUCAAAGCACUGAUGAUGAUAAAAUCGUUCAGUACCAUUGGGAAGAACUUAAGGGGCCUCUGAGAGAAGAGAAGAUUUCUGAAGAUACAGCCAUAUUAAAACUAAGUAAACUCGUCCCUGGGAACUACACUUUCAGCUUGACUGUAGUAGACUCUGAUGGAGCUACCAACUCUACUACUGCAAACCUGACAGUGAACAAAGCUGUGGAUUACCCCCCUGUGGCCAACGCAGGCCCCAACCAAGUGAUCACCCUGCCCCAAAACUCCAUCACCCUCUUUGGGAACCAGAGCACUGAUGAUCAUGGCAUCACCAGCUAUGAGUGGUCACUCAGCCCAAGCAGCAAAGGGAAAGUGGUGGAGAUGCAGGGUGUUAGAACACCAACCUUACAGCUCUCUGCGAUGCAAGAAGGAGACUACACUUACCAGCUCACAGUGACUGACACAAUAGGACAGCAGGCCACUGCUCAAGUGACUGUUAUUGUGCAACCUGAAAACAAUAAGCCUCCUCAGGCAGAUGCAGGCCCAGAUAAAGAGCUGACCCUUCCUGUGGAUAGCACAACCCUGGAUGGCAGCAAGAGCUCAGAUGAUCAGAAAAUUAUCUCAUAUCUCUGGGAAAAAACACAGGGACCUGAUGGGGUGCAGCUCGAGAAUGCUAACAGCAGUGUUGCCACUGUGACUGGGCUGCAAGUGGGGACCUAUGUGUUCACCUUGACUGUCAAAGAUGAGAGGAACCUGCAAAGCCAGAGCUCUGUGAAUGUCAUUGUCAAAGAAGAAAUAAACAAACCACCUAUAGCCAAGAUAACUGGGAAUGUGGUGAUUACCCUACCCACGAGCACAGCAGAGCUGGAUGGCUCUAAGUCCUCAGAUGACAAGGGAAUAGUCAGCUACCUCUGGACUCGAGAUGAGGGGAGCCCAGCAGCAGGGGAGGUGUUAAAUCACUCUGACCAUCACCCUAUCCUUUUUCUUUCAAACCUGGUUGAGGGAACCUACACUUUUCACCUGAAAGUGACCGAUGCAAAGGGUGAGAGUGACACAGACCGGACCACUGUGGAGGUGAAACCUGAUCCCAGGAAAAACAACCUGGUGGAGAUCAUCUUGGAUAUCAACGUCAGUCAGCUAACUGAGAGGCUGAAGGGGAUGUUCAUCCGCCAGAUUGGGGUCCUCCUGGGGGUGCUGGAUUCCGACAUCAUUGUGCAAAAGAUUCAGCCGUACACGGAGCAGAGCACCAAAAUGGUAUUUUUUGUUCAAAACGAGCCUCCCCACCAGAUCUUCAAAGGCCAUGAGGUGGCAGCGAUGCUCAAGAGUGAGCUGCGGAAGCAAAAGGCAGACUUUUUGAUAUUCAGAGCCUUGGAAGUCAACACUGUCACAUGUCAGCUGAACUGUUCCGACCAUGGCCACUGUGACUCGUUCACCAAACGCUGUAUCUGUGACCCUUUUUGGAUGGAGAAUUUCAUCAAGGUGCAGCUGAGGGAUGGAGACAGCAACUGUGAGUGGAGCGUGUUAUAUGUUAUCAUUGCUACCUUUGUCAUUGUUGUUGCCUUGGGAAUCCUGUCUUGGACUGUGAUCUGUUGUUGUAAGAGGCAAAAAGGAAAACCCAAGAGGAAAAGCAAAUACAAGAUCCUGGAUGCCACGGAUCAGGAAAGCCUGGAGCUGAAGCCAACCUCCCGGGCAGCAUCCAGUGAAGCCACAGCAGACAAGAGCCCACAGAGCAAAUGUCUACAUGGACUGAAACUGCACACUCCUGCUGUGCCAGCACUCAGCGGCCCUGCUGACCUAGGGUGCAGCUAAAAGCUCAUUCUCCAGAGCCUGAGUUCUUUGUGCUUUCCUGCCUACCAUGUCACUCCACCCAUAGAGGGAGGUGAUAAAAUAUUCCAAAUUUGAAAGGUAAAGAAAAGAGAAUGUCACUGAGUGGCCUGAACCAAAGCUCAUGGAUACUGGAGAUGAAGAACCAGCAGGAGACCCCAGGUGUGCUCUCAUCCAUACUCUGUGACACCCCUUAGUGGACUGUUCCAGCCAGUUGAGCCCGGGAGAAGGACUAGGGAAGCUUCCUUCCCAUCUGCACCUCCCAGCCUGGCAUCAAACAGAAAGGCCUGGUGCUAAGUAGCAGCCUGAUGCACUCCGAGUCAGAGCUGGACAGCGACGAUGCCAUCUUUACAUGGCCAGACCGAGAGAAGGGCAAACUCCUGCAUGGUCAGAAUGGCUCUGUACCCAACGGGCAGACCCCUCUGAAGGCCAGGAGCCCGCGGGAGGAGAUCCUGUAGCCACCUGGUCUGUCUCCUCAGGGCAGGGCCCAGCACACUGCCUGGCCAGUCCUCCUACCUCCCGAGUCUGCGGGCAGCUGCUGUCCCAGCAUCUGCUGGUCAUUUCGCCCUGACAGUCCCAACCAGAACCCCUGGGACUUGAAUCCAGAGACGUCCUCCAGGAACCCCUGAACGAAGCUGUGAAUGAAGAGGUUUCCUCUUUAAACCUGUCUGGUGGGCCCCCAGAUAUCCUCACCUCAGGGCCUCCUUUUUUUGCAAACUCCUCCCCUCCCCCGAGGGCAGACCCAGCCAGCUGCUAAGCUCUGCAGCUCCCCAGUGGACAGUGUCAUUGUGCCCAGAGUGCUGCAAGGUGAGGCCUGCUGUGCUGCCCGCACACCUGAGUGCAAAACCAAGCACUGUGGGUAUGGUGUUUCCCUCUCUGGGGUAGAGUACGCCCUCUUGCUGGGCAAAGAGGAAGUGGCACCCCUCCCCUCACCACAGAUGCUGAGAUGGUAGCAUAGAAAUGAUAUCUGGCCCCCCCUUAACACUGGAGCCCCACUCCCUUCUCCCAUCCGGCCCGAGAUUAGGGAGGAUUGACUGUGUCAGGGAUGGUGGGUGGCCUCUCUCGCUGCCAGGGCCCUUGUCAGAGCAGCCAGGCUGGACAGACGGCCUCCCUCCUCUCCAUCUGACCGGCACCUGCUGCUUCGGGGCUUAGGCCACCGCUCCCUGUCCCCAGAGGAGAUAGCCCCAGAUGGACUGGACUGUUGUGGCAUGAGAGUGCAUGUGUGCAAUGGCCCCGCUGUGGUCCCCUCUCUGUCCCUCCAUCUGUAUGUGUUCUCUCUGUGUCCCUUGCAUGUGUGCGUGUUAGAGUGAGCGCGUAUGCAUCAACUCAUUGGGCUCUUGGCUGCUCACAAGGCAACUUUGACUUGGAAAGACUUUCAUCUCCUUGGAACCAAGACUUCCUGAGUCCCCCUCACCCUGGCCCUGUUCCACCAUGGUUAUCUGGGUAUUGGGGAAUGGAAACUUUGGGGGAGUGACUUUUUAAAGAGACACUUAUAAUUUCUACUACUGCACUACUGUCCAUUGUGGGAUGAUUAAACAUGGUAUUUAACUGUG